rnacentral:rRNA from 1 species
UACGGGGGGGGCAAGCGUUGUUCGGAAUUACUGGGCGUAAAGGGCGCGUAGGCGGCCUCGCAAGUCCCGUGUGAAAUCCCUCGGCUCAACUGAGGAAUGGCACGGGAAACUGCGGGGCUUGAGUUCGGGAGAGGGAAGCGGAAUUCCGGGUGUAGCGGUGAAAUGCGUAGAUAUCCGGAGGAACACCGGUGGCGAAGGCGGCUUCCUGGACCGAUACUGACGCUGAGGCGCGAAAGCUAGGGGAGCAAACAGG